GAUGAACGCUGGCGGCGUGCCUAAUACAUGCAAGUCGAGCGAACAGACGAGGAGCUUGCUCCUCUGACGUUAGCGGCGGACGGGUGAGUAACACGUGGAUAACCUACCUAUAAGACUGGGAUAACUUCGGGAAACCGGAGCUAAUACCGGAUAAUAUAUUGAACCGCAUGGUUCAAUAGUGAAAGACGGUUUUGCUGUCACUUAUAGAUGGAUCCGCGCCGCAUUAGCUAGUUGGUAAGGUAACGGCUUACCAAGGCAACGAUGCGUAGCCGACCUGAGAGGGUGAUCGGCCACACUGGAACUGAGACACGGUCCAGACUCCUACGGGAGGCAGCAGUAGGGAAUCUUCCGCAAUGGGCGAAAGCUUGACGGAGCGACGCCGCGUGAGUGAUGAAGGUCUUCGGAUCGUAAAACUCUGUUAUUAGGGAAGAACAAAUGUGUAAGUAACUAUGCACGUCUUGACGGUACCUAAUCAGAAAGCCACGGCUAACUACGUG
rnacentral:rRNA from 1 species